GACGAACGCUGGCGGCGUGCCUAAUACAUGCAAGUAGAACGCUGAAGGAGGAGCUUGCUCUUCUGGCUGAGUUGCGAACGGGUGAGUAACGCGUAGGUAACCUGCCUGGUAGCGGGGGAUAACUAUUGGAAACGAUAGCUAAUACCGCAUAACAGUAGAUGUUGCAUGACAUUUGCUUAAAAGGUGCACUUGCAUCACUACCAGAUGGACCUGCGUUGUAUUAGCUAGUUGGUGGGGUAACGGCUCACCAAGGCGACGAUACAUAGCCGACCUGAGAGGGUGAUCGGCCACACUGGGACUGAGACACGGCCCAGACUCCUACGGGAGGCAGCAGGAGGGAAUCUUCGGAAAUGGACGGAAGGCUGACCGCGCAAAGACGCGGGAGUGAAGAAGGGUUUCGGAUCGGAAAGCUCUGUUGUAAGAGAAGAACGAGUGUGAGAGUGGAAAGUUCACACUGUGACGGUAUCUAACCAGAAAGGGACGGCUAACUACGUG
rnacentral:rRNA from 1 species